rnacentral:rRNA from 1 species
UACAGAGGUCCCGAGCGUUGUUCGGAUUCACUGGGCGUAAAGGGUGCAUAGGUGGUGAGGUAAGUCGGAUGUGAAAGCUCGGAGCUCAACUCCGAAAUGGCAUUGGAAACUACCUUGCUAGAGGGUUGGAGGGGGGACUGGAAUGCUUGGUGUAGCAGUGAAAUGCGUAGAUAUCAAGCGGAACACCAGUGGCGAAGGCGAGUCCCUGGACAACUCCUGACACUGAGGCACGAAAGCUAGGGGAGCAAACAGG